rnacentral:lncRNA from 1 species
CACGAGGGUGGACAGCGUGUCACUUCAGGCUGCUGAGUUCAGUUCAAAGACAACAAAUUUGGCUGUGAGCACACUAGAGCUACCAUCUGGCCUGCUGCAAGAGCUUCGAGACUCCCUUCAACCACAGCAAGCAGCUGAGCCCGAGUCUCAAGAACCAAUCCAAACAACACGCACAGAGGUCCCAGAAGUGCAAGCUACACCCGCUCCAGAGUACCGACAGGCAGCUCAGCCACAACCAACCAGUACCAUUCCACCUUCUGUUGGCCGACAUAGGCUCAGAGAUUAUGAGUCUGAAGAGGAAGAAGAAGUGCCAGUAUCAGUUUCAACACCUGUAAGCAGACGUCGCAGACACAUACCGAGGCCACAGCUGCGACACACUAGCUCUGAUGAGGAAGAACUUGAGCUGCCAGUGUCACGUCCUGUAUCUCGAGGAAGGUCAAGAGUAGCUGCAGGUUCUGUUGGCUCUGAACCUAAUGCUGUAGAGCUAGGGCGUCAGUUGAUUGCAACGUGCCAGGCGGCUGCUGUGAGAGCCCUGAAUCGCUCUGUUCAGUAUGCGUGCUCCGUGGCGAAUAUUGACUCUGAACAGCAUCGUCAUGAACUUCAGGUUGUAUUUUGUGGUCUUCUUGUUGCUGUUGCUGCUAUGGUGUUAUUUGGAUUCGGAUCUGGAAAGACAUUUCACUAUCAUCAUUGGGAUUAUGUUUUUCCACCACCCUGAAAUGUACUGAAAGAAAUUUUUAAUACUUUAAGAUUUCUCCCUUUUCAUAAAUUAAUCUUUGUUGUUAAUAAACUUCAUCCCAAAGUGUACUGUCAUUUUUAAAAGGCAUUCACAUCAUGCACAAUAUUUUCAGAGAGGUAGACACUUAUUGUAAAUAAAAUGUUAUAUUCUU